rnacentral:rRNA from 1 species
CACGUAGGGCGCGAGCGUUGUCCGGAAUUAUUGGGCGUAAAGAGCUCGUAGGCGGCCUGUUGCGUCCGCUGUGAAAGCCCGGGGCUUAACCCCGGGUCUGCAGUGGAUACGGGCAGGCUAGAGGUAGGUAGGGGAGAAUGGAAUUCCUGGUGUAGCGAUGAAAUGCGCAGAUAUCAGGAAGAACACCCGUGGCGAAGGCGGCUCUCUGGAACGCAACUGACGCUGAGACGCGAAAGCGUGGGGAGCAAACAGG